rnacentral:rRNA from 1 species
UACGGAGGGUGCGAGCGUUGUUCGGAAUCAUUGGGCGUAAAGGGUGCGUAGGCGGUCGAGUAAGUCUGACGUGAAAUCCCUUGGCUCAACCAAGGAACUGCGUCUUAAACUGCUCGGCUUGAGUCCGGGAGAGGGUAGUGGAAUUCCCAGUGUAGCGGUGAAAUGCGUAGAUAUUGGGAGGAACACCGGUGGCGAAGGCGGCUACCUGGACCGGUACUGACGCUGAGGCGCGAAAGCUAGGGUAGCAAACAGG